ensembl:lncRNA
GGACAGUCCGCCUGCAGCUCCCAGCCUCCUCGGCAGCGAGGGGGAGCAUGUCAUGACUUCUAACCAGUGGGAUGCGGGGGAGGACCCAUGGGGGUCUCCCUGGAGAGCGUUUCCCCUUCUGAUGGCUGGAUGUCAAAGUCAUCUUGAGAGCUGACCAAAGACAGCUGCUCCCCAUCAGCUGGCCCCCAACAAGGAAGACACCUUUGAACCCCCAAGUGAAUAAGAAAUAAGCUUGUGUUGGGUUCAGCAGCUGAAAUGUUGGGUUUAUUACCACAGGUGCCAAUCCUUGUCCAAUGCACAGCUUUCCACUUAUCAUCACCUGAGGCAGUGGUAGUUAAGAUCACCUGCCUGAAGCUAUUCUUGGCGUUCUUUGCAUUAUCGUGGGAAAGAAGGCCCCUGAAGAGGAGAAAAAAAUUUCACCUGGGGAGGCGUGCUUUCAGAGAAAUGUGAUUAGACCAUUGAGAGAGAUUCGCCCUACUCUUGGACCUGAGGCUGCUGACAUAGGACACAGCUCAGUUACGUUCAGACUUGCAGUGUCGUCUGCCUUCUGCAUGCUUACUGCUUGCACUUGCCCUGUAAGGUUUGCUGCUGCUGCUGCUGCUGCUAAGUCACUUCCGUCGUGUCCGACUCUGUGUGACCCCAUAGACGACAGCCCACCAAGCUCCCUCGUCCCUGGGAUUCUCCAGGCAAGAACACUGGAGUGGGUUGCCAUUUCCUUCUCCAAUGCAUGAAAGUGAAAAGUGAAAGUGAAGUCAUUCAGUCAUGUCCGACUCUUCGCGACCCCAUGGACUGCAGGCUCCCAGGCUCCUCCGUCCAUGGGAUUUUCCAGGCAAGAGUACUGGAGUGGGGUGCCAUUGCCUUCUCCUCCUCUAAGGUUUGCGGGGGUCUAAUUCCACUUAUCGGUCUGGAUGUUACAAGAGGUGGAAGGGUGGGCUUUGAGGAUAAUGUGGUAUCUCCUUGUAAGAAAACUCUGAUGAGUACCCUGCAGGGUCUUCAAGCAAGAGGAAGUUUCUCUUCAGACAGAGGAAGGGGCUGCUUCCUCAUCAAGGGGUGUCCAGUUCAGAUUCUCUGUACUCAUUCUUUCCAGGCCAGUUCCCUGACAUUAGCAUAAAGAGGACCCAGAGAAGCUGUGAAUUCGGUGGAGGUUGUAAUUUGAGAAUCUCUAGUGUCAGACAUUGGGUCUGCUCUUCACCUGCCCACAGCAAUGAGAGACCAGAGCCCUGUCUCUGAAGCACUUGGGUCCUCUGGCCAGCUGUUAGUACACAAUUUGGAGCACCAAACAUGUCUUUCUUUGCCUUUCUUCUCCUCUGCCAGGCAAGCCAAGCGACCAGCCCACUCUCAGCACCUUUAGUCU